UACGUAGGUGGCAAGCGUUAUCCGGAAUUAUUGGGCGUAAAGCGCGCGCAGGCGGUCUUUUAAGUCUGAUGUGAAAUCUCGGGGCUCAACCCCGAGCGGUCAUUGGAAACUGGGGAACUUGAGUGCAGAAGAGGAAAGUGGAAUUCCAAGUGUAGCGGUGAAAUGCGUAGAUAUGUGGAGGAACACCAGUGGCGAAGGCGACUCUCUGGUCUGUAACUGACGCUGAGACGCGAAAGCGUGGGGAGCGAACAGG
rnacentral:misc_RNA from 1 species